UACGGAGGGUGCAAGCGUUAAUCGGAAUUACUGGGCGUAAAGCGUGCGUAGGCGGUGAGUGAAGUCUGCUGUGAAAUCCCUGGGCUCAACCUGGGAAUGGCGGUGGAUACUGGCUUGCUAGAGUACGGUAGAGGAAGGUGGAAUUCCCGGUGUAGCGGUGAAAUGCGUAGAGAUCGGGAGGAACAUCAGUGGCGAAGGCGACCUUCUGGACCAGUACUGACGCUGAGGCACGAAAGCGUGGGGGGAGCAAACAGGAUUAGAUACCCUGGUAGUCCACGCCCUAAACGAUGCGAACUGGAGGUUGGGUGCAACUUGGCACGCAGUCUCGAAGCUAACGCGUUAAGUUCGCCGCCUGGGGAGUACGGUCGCAAGACUGAAACU
rnacentral:rRNA from 1 species